AAUAAACUAAAUAAAAUUACAUUUAAAUCCACCUUCAAUAAAAUUUUUCAAUUUCAUAUUCAUUUAAAUAAAUUUAUUGUAAUCCAUUAUAUUCUUAAUUAUAUUCUACAUCUUGAUCUGAAUUAAUUUUUAUUUUAAUUUUUAAAUAUUAUAAAUUAAUUAAAAAUAUUUUUUUAACAACGAUAUAUAAAAUUUUAAAUUAAGUAAAUUUAUUCGUGGAUUAUCAAUUAUUAAACAGAUUCCUCUAAAUGAACUAAAAUACCGCCAUAUUAUUUAAGUUUCAAUAAAUAAUUAUCUACUAUUUUAGCAUUAUAAUUUAAAUUUUUAAUAAUAGGGUAUCUAAU
rnacentral:rRNA from 2 species